rfam:Picea glauca, whole genome shotgun sequence.
AGCGGGUUACUCAGCCAAGAAUGACUUGCCUACAUGACGUGACGUGCUGAUUAUUAGGAUGACAAUUAAUUGAGUGUUAUGUUGUUUGCCAUUCAGUUGAGUUCGUUUGUAGGCAAGUCAUCUUUUGGUGCAGCAUCCCGCUCU